AACGAACGCUGGCGGCAGGCUUAACACAUGCAAGUCGAACGCCCCGCAAGGGUAGUGGCAGACGGGUGAGUAACGCGUGGGAAUCUACCUAGUUCUACGGAACAACACAGGGAAACUUGUGCUAAUACCGUAUACGCCCUACGGGGGAAAGAUUUAUCGGAAUUAGAUGAGCCCGCGUAAGAUUAGCUAGUUGGUGGGGUAAUGGCCUACCAAGGCGACGAUCUUUAGCUGGUCUGAGAGGAUGAUCAGCCACACUGGGACUGAGACACGGCCCAGACUCCUACGGGAGGCAGCAGUGGGGAAUAUUGGACAAUGGGCGAAAGCCUGAUCCAGCCAUGCCGCGUGAGUGAUGAAGGCCUUAGGGUUGUAAAGCUCUUUCAGUAGGGAAGAUAAUGACGGUAACCGGAGAAGAAGCCCCGGCUAACUUCGUGCCAGCCGCCGCGGUAACAC
rnacentral:rRNA from 1 species